GUGCUGGUAGCUCAGCGGUAGAGCACCGGACUGUGGAUCCGGAAGGCGCUCGGUUCGAAUCCGGCCCGGCACCC
rnacentral:tRNA from 1 species